rnacentral:tRNA from 2 species
GUGCCCGUAGUUCAGUUGGUUAGAAUGCCAGGUUGUGAUCCUGGAGGUCGAGGGUUCGAACCCCUUCGGGCACCCCA